AUUGAACGCUGGCGGCAGGCUUAACACAUGCAAGUCGAACGAUGACUCUCUAGCUUGCUAGAGAAGAUUAGUGGCGGACGGGUGAGUAACAUUUAGGAAUCUGCCUAGUAGUGGGGGAUAGCUCGGGGAAACUCGAAUUAAUACCGCAUACGACCUACGGGUGAAAGGGGGCGCAAGCUCUUGCUAUUAGAUGAGCCUAAAUCAGAUUAGCUAGUUGGUGGGGUAAAGGCCCACCAAGGCGACGAUCUGUAACUGGUCUGAGAGGAUGAUCAGUCACACCGGAACUGAGACACGGUCCGGACUCCUACGGGAGGCAGCAGUGGGGAAUAUUGGACAAUGGGGGCAACCCUGAUCCAGCCAUGCCGCGUGUGUGAAGAAGGCCUUUUGGUUGUAAAGCACUUUAAGCAGGGAGGAGAGGCUAAUGGUUAAUACCCAUUAAAUUAGACGUUACCUGCAGAAUAAGCACCGGCUAACUCUGUGCCAGCAGCCGCGGUAAUACAGAGGGUGCGAGCGUUAAUCGGAAUUACUGGGCGUAAAGCGAGUGUAGGUGGCUCAUUAAGUCACAUGUGAAAUCCCCGGGCUUAACCUGGGAACUGCAUGUGAUACUGGUGGUGCUAGAAUAUGUGAGAGGGAAGUAGAAUUCCAGGUGUAGCGGUGAAAUGCGUAGAGAUCUGGAGGAAUACCGAUGGCGAAGGCAGCUUCCUGGCAUAAUAUUGACACUGAGGUUCGAAAGCGUGGGUAGCAAACAGGAUUAGAUACCCUGGUAGUCCACGCCGUAAACGAUGUCUACUAGCCGUUGGGGUCCUUGAGACUUUAGUGGCGCAGUUAACGCGAUAAGUAGACCGCCUGGGGAGUACGGCCGCAAGGUUAAAACUCAAAUGAAUUGACGGGGGCCCGCACAAGCGGUGGAGCAUGUGGUUUAAUUCGAUGCAACGCGAAGAACCUUACCUGGUCUUGACAUAGUGAGAAUCUCUCAGAGAUGAGAGAGUGCCUUCGGGAACUCACAUACAGGUGCUGCAUGGCUGUCGUCAGCUCGUGUCGUGAGAUGUUGGGUUAAGUCCCGCAACGAGCGCAACCCUUUUCCUUAUUUGCCAGCGGGUUAAGCCGGGAACUUUAAGGAUACUGCCAGUGACAAACUGGAGGAAGGCGGGGACGACGUCAAGUCAUCAUGGCCCUUACGACCAGGGCUACACACGUGCUACAAUGGUAGGUACAGAGGGUUGCUACACAGCGAUGUGAUGCUAAUCUCAAAAAGCCUAUCGUAGUCCGGAUUGGAGUCUGCAACUCGACUCCAUGAAGUCGGAAUCGCUAGUAAUCGCGGAUCAGAAUGCCGCGGUGAAUACGUUCCCGGGCCU
rnacentral:rRNA from 1 species